rnacentral:rRNA from 1 species
GUUUGACCAAAUCAGCUGGAAUGUGCCCGAUUUCGUCAGAUUUCGGAAGCUAAGCAUGGUUGGGCCUGAACAGUGUUUGGUUGGAUGACCACCAUGCACAAAACAGGUGUUGCAGGCU